GAUGUUUUUUGUCAAGAAUGAAAGUGGCCGCAUCCGUGUUCACUCUCAACUUUAUAUAUGUUAUGUAUUAUCAUCAAAUACAACUUACAUUUAAAUAUUAAGAAUGAACACGAAUGCGGUCACUUCCAUUUAAGACGGAAACCGUCUAAAAAUUAACUCAAAUGCUAAAAUUGUGUUAGUACUCGAUAUAUGUGCGUUGUACUGCAAAAACAGCCCAUACUUAUUUAGCAGAAGCAUUAUUCUUUCCAAUAAAUAGCAAAAAAGUUUAUAUUUUGACAAUUUUGUAAAACUGCUGUAUUUUGGGGCCAAAAAAGGGUCUUACCGGACCUUCUCCUUUGUUUCACUUUGCUCUUCUAAAUGGUUGUGUACCAUUAUUUCAACAUCUUGAUGCAUUUAAUAAACUAAAAUACAUUAUAAACCACACCGCCCCCGCCCCC
rnacentral:lncRNA from 1 species